UUUAUUUUCUUUUGACCACAUUAAAAACGGUAUAGACAUUUAAAAACUCCUUUCCAACCAUUUUUUUUUUUUUUUUUUUUUUUUUUUUAAUAAAACCAUUUAAAACAGCGUUUGUAAUUAAUAAAUGAAUAAACAUACAAAUAAAUAAAUCAAUAAAUAAAGAAGCGAAAUCAAGAUACAAACGCAAAAAAUAUAUAUAUAUUUUUUUUUUAAUGUGUGUUCCGCUUUUAUUUCUUGUUUAUUACUCCUGUAAACAUUGUGUGAAAACAUUAAAUUCUGAAAUAUUGUAUUUGUAACACUACAGUAAUAUAAUAAGACUAUCGAGUAAAAAAAAUAAAAAAAUUAAAAUAAAAAUUUCAAAUUCUGAACAACAAAAAAUCAAAAAAAUAUUGUGAACAACAUGAAAAACACUAGCAUUGUUAAAGCAAGCAAAAAAGCUGAACCUUCGUUUACCGACUUCGAAUUAGAUAUAGAUAAUGAUAUAAUUUCAUAUUUAUCUUCUCUUAUAAACAAUAAAAACGUCAAACACAAAAUAUUAAAAAUAAAUAAUUUGAUAGAUGACUCUUUGUAUAACACCUAUAUAGAUAGUGAAGAAACAUGUGAAUUAUACGAAACUUCAAGUGAAAAAGAAAUUGGCAAUGGUCACAGUGAAACAUUAACUUGCAUCAGUCAUAACGACUCAGAUUGUAACAAUCAAAACGGUAUAGUCAGCUAUAACCAUACAGAACAUAUAAAUGGAAAUCGUAGUUUUGAUAAAAAUUCUGAUAAUAUGUUACUUUCACAUGACAAAAAAAAUCCUUUUGAAUAUUCUUCACAUGAGUUGAUACCAAGUAGUAACCUAUUUUUAAAAUAUCAAAAUAACAACAAUUUUAAAAUAAAUAUAAUGAACAUGUUAGGUAAUAAUGAUAUUUUAUACAAUAAUAAAUACAAACAAAACAAUGUAUUAUUUUUAUGUUAUGAUGGACAUAAUAAUGAAACAUGUGAUAUCUGUUAUAAGUAUAAAGAAAAUUAUAUGCUCAACAUACAAAGUAGUGUUAAUAAAAUUGUACCUUUUAAAGAUGAUAAGAUCCAGUUGGGGCGAAUAAACAGGCCGAAUGGAAAUGAAAAUAGUAAUAAUAUUGGUACUGACAAUAGAAACAGCACCACCUGCAACGGUAGCAAAAUAAAUGGCUAUUCCAAUUCCUUCGGUACUAACAAUGCAUUGAGUGAUUAUUUUUUUGUUUUAGGAUCUACCUCGAACUCAAGAAAAUUUAUUUUAAAAAAAAAUGAACUCAAUUUUAUAUCAGUUAGUAUACAUAUUAAUGAAAGAAAAAUUGGAUGUCGAAAAAAACAUGACCCUUUUACACUAACUUCUAACAUUUCAGUUGCAAAGGGUCUAAAAUUGUUAUCUAUGAUAAAAAAAAACAAAGAACUACAAAAAAAUAUAUAUAAUUUAAGUAAAAAUAAAAAAGUUGUAUUGUUAGUAGGAGAUGAAGUAAUAUAUUGUAACAAC
rnacentral:lncRNA from 1 species